AUACCUUUCUCGGCCUUUUGGCUAAGAUCAAGUGUAGUAUCUGUUCUUAUCAGUUUAAUAUCUGAUAUGUGAGUCAUUGACUCACACGAUAUUAACUCAAUUUUUUAAAGGGGGAAAGUUCAUUAAAGUAGCUUGCUACUUGGAUUUUCAUGCGUCGCCUGGGCGUUGCACUAAAGCCUAGGCCUGGCACACCCCAC
rnacentral:snRNA from 1 species